GACGAACCGUGCGAACGUUAUUCGGAAUCACUGGGCUUAAAGGGAGCGUAGGCGGGCUAUCAAGUCUGGGGUGAAAUCCCGCGGCUCAACCGUGGAACUGCCUCAGAUACUGACGGCCUCGAGGGAGAUAGGGGCAUGCGGAACUGUAGGUGGAGCGGUGAAAUGCGUUGAUAUCUACAGGAACUCCGGUGGCGAAAGCGGCCUUCUGGACAGUGACUGACGCUGAGACGCGAAGGCGUGGGGAGCAAACAGG
rnacentral:rRNA from 1 species